rnacentral:rRNA from 1 species
UACGUAGGGUGCAAGCGUUGUCCGGAAUUAUUGGGCGUAAAGAGCUCGUAGGCGGUCUGUCGCGUCUGCUGUGAAAACUCGGGGCUUAACCCCGGGCCUGCAGUGGGUACGGGCAGACUAGAGUGCGGUAGGGGAGACUGGAAUUCCUGGUGUAGCGGUGAAAUGCGCAGAUAUCAGGAGGAACACCGGUGGCGAAGGCGGGUCUCUGGGCAGUAACUGACGCUGAGGAGCGAAAGCGUGGGGAGCGAACAGG